AUGGAUAAGAUCCCUAAGAUUCCUAGCUCAACACACGAUUCUGUGGCCAGAUUGGAUGGUACACCUUUCAGCAGUGGUGGAAAUGUUUCCGAAUCUCAGUAUGAGGGAACAAGCCUGAGGGAACUAAUUAAGCCCGCACGCCAAGCAAUGAGCAAGUUUGAGAAAAUGCAGUUGUUUAAGCAGAUCCUUGAUCAUGUAGACAAAUCCCAUGCUCAGGGUGUAACCUUACAGCAUUUGCGCCCGUCGUAUUUUAUACUUUCAUCCCCAAACCAAGUAAGAUAUACCGGUUCUUACACUAAACAAGAUUUAUCAACCCCAGCCAAACCGGAUAUGGCCGCAGAUGAUGUUUUUAACAGAAAACGAUGCUUCGAUCAGAAAACUUUGCACCAAGAGUGUAAUGGCAAUGGACAUUCAAUCCUGAAGUAUCAGAAGGUUGGUGAACAAGGUUCUGCUGCCGUCAGGAGACCGAUACAUCCCUUCCGGACUGACCACAAAGGGGCCAACCAAAGUGAAGGUGCUGAUCUAGGUGCUUCAGGACAGGGAAAUUCUAGUUGCACCGUCGGAGGUCGUUCUAAGUUUGGCGAACCUUACUAUGGUGGUAAUGCAUCUUAUGGCCAACGUUUUCCUAAUUAUGGCAACCAAGAAUCAGUACUUGAAUUGAGGAUGCUAGAAGAUAGCUGGUACAGAAGCCCGGAAGAGCUCAAUCAAGUGAAAGGCACAUCCCCAUCCAACAUCUACAGCCUUGGGGUUCUUUUAUUUGAGCUCUUUUGCUGUUGUGAAACAUGGGAGCUGCAUUGUGCUGCAAUGUCAGAUCUUCGCCACCGGAUCCUGCCUCCAAUUUUUCUUUCAGAAAGUCCCAAGGAGGCUGGCUUCUGCCUUUGGCUAUUGCAUCCGGAUCCUUUUUCUCGACCAAAAGCAAGAGACAUUCUAGGAUGUGACUUGAUAAAUGAGGGUCGGGAUUUAUCGGUGUUAGAUAAGGCACCAGCUGCUAUCAAUGAGGAGGACACAGAGUCUGGUUUGUUACUGAAUUUUCUGUCUCAACUGAAAGAAGAAAAGGAGAUGCAUGCUGCCAAGUUAUCAGCAGAUCUUGCAAGCUUGCAGACUGAUAUUGUAGAGGCUGAGAGAAGACACUCGUUUAGGAUGGGGUUCAGUUUAGAGGACAUGGAUGUACCAGCAAGUUCUAAUGAUGUGCCAGGUACUUCAUCAAAUGCCCUGAGAGGGGCAUUGUUGUCAGGAGGCAGGUCAGGCAUAUACGAGGAGAGGGUGAUGAAGAAUUUGCAGCAGCUUGAAAAUGCAUAUUACUCCACGAGGUCCACCAUUGACACAUCUGAGACUAAUGUAAUUAAGCGUUCCGAUAAUGAUGCUUUGAGGGUCCGUGAAAACUUUAACCACAGUGAUGCCGAUGCUAUGAAUGGGCCAACAGACCGCCUUGGAUGCUUUUUUGAUGGUCUAUGCAAAUAUGCCCGGCAUAGUAGGUUUGAAGUACGAGGGAUUUUGAAGAAUGCUGAUAUACUUAACUCUCCAAAUGUGAUCUGUUCUUUAAGUUUUGACCGUGAUGAAGAAUAUUUUGCUGCUGCUGGGGUUUCAAAGAAAAUUAAAAUAUUCGAAUUCGAUGCUCUUUUAAAUGAUCGUGUUGAUAUUCAUUAUCCUAUAGUAGAGAUGCCUAGCAAGUCCAAGCUUAGUUGUGUCUGUUGGAACAACUAUAUAAAGAACUACCUGGCAUCAACAGACUAUGAUGGCACUGUUCAGCUAUGGGAUGCAAGCACUGGCCAAGGAUUCACACAGUUUACAGAGCAUCGGAAAAGAGCUUGGUCUGUGAGUUUCUCAGAGGUGGAUCCAACUAAAUUGGCAAGUGGGAGUGACGAUUGUUGUGUGAAAGUUUGGAAUAUUAACCAGGUUGAUUACAAGACAUACUGUUAUGAUCUGAGGCAUACAAGGAUCCCCUGGUGUACCAUUUCUGGACACGGGAAAGCUGUCAGCUAUGUAAGAUUCUUGGAUGCAGAAACGCUUAUAUCUGCCUCAACUGACAAUACCUUGAAGAUAUGGGAUCUCAACCGGACUAAUCCUAAUGGAUUAUCUACUAAUGCUUGCAGUCUGACUUUGAGUGGUCAUACCAACGAGAAGAAUUUUGUAGGCUUAUCCGUUCACGAUGGAUACAUAACGUGCGGUUCUGAAAACAAUGAAGUAUAUUCUUACUAUAAAAGCUUUCCCAUGCCAAUAACUUCUCACAAGUUUGGUUCAAUCGAUCCAAUAACCGGACAAGAGACCAAUGAUGAUAAUCAGCAGUUUGUGUCGAGCGUUUGCUGGAGAGGAAGGUCGAAUAUGGUGGUGGCUGCCAACUCUAGUGGAAGCAUCAAAGUCCUUGAGCUUGUUUGA
rnacentral:rRNA from 1 species